GUCCUUGUCAAUCAAACCUGCAGCCGAACCCGGGCGCUGAAGUUCUCAAGGCUGCAUUUGUCCUCCGCCCCUGCAGUUACGGUUACAAAGUGUGGUUUCCUCUCUAGUGUUCCGCCAGAACAAAUAAGAGAUAGAGCUGUCGUUUCUUGAGUGAUUACCAAGUGCUUGGAGAAUUUUACAUGUAUUAAGGAAGUUCACUCUCACAGCAAUCUUCUGAGCUGGACCUGAAAGCCUGCACUGUCUAUCCCCAUAUGGUCCAAUGACGAUCUCGAAGUCAAUAAGUUCUUCAAGGUUUCUGAAAACCAGUCUUCUUUACCCUCAUUAUACUGGUGACCCAACGAAAAGCAGGAGUAUUGCAGAUGAGGAAACUGAGGGUCAGAAAAGCUAAAUUCCUUACUCAAGAUCACACAGGCAUUUAAGGGUCAAAGCCAGGAUCCAAAC
rnacentral:lncRNA from 1 species